rnacentral:rRNA from 1 species
GACGAACGCUGGCGGCGUGCUUAACACAUGCAAGUCGAACGGUGAAGCGCCUUCCUUUUUGGUGGGUGUGGAUGAGAGGCGAACGGGUGAGUAACACGUGAGUAACCUGCCCCCUUCUACUGGAUAACCGAACGAAAGCGUGGCUAAUACGGGAGAUUCUGGGUCUGUCGCAUGAUGGGUCUGGGUAAGAUAUUGUUUCGGUGGGGGAUGGGCUCGCGGCCUAUCAGCUUGUUGGUGGGGUGAUGGCCUACCAAGGCUGUUACGGGUCGCCGGCCUGGGAGGGUAGACGGUCUCACUGGGACAGCGGCACGGCCCAGACUCCGACGGGAGGCAGCAGUGUGGAAUAGUGCACAAUGGGCGCAAGCCUGAAGCAGCGGCGCCGCGGGAGGGAUGGAGGCCUUCGGGUUGUGAAGCUCUUUCGCCAGUGAAGCAGGCCUGCCUCGUUUGUGGGUGGGUUGACGGUAGCUGGUUAAGAAGCGCCGGCUAACUACGUG